UAAGGAAUAUUGGUCAAUGGACGCAAGUCUGAACCAGCCAUGCCGCGUGAAGGAUGAAGGUCCUCUGGAUUGUAAACUUCUUUUAUCUGGGACGAAAACGGGAUUUUUAUCUCAAUUGACGGUACCAGAGGAAUAAGCACCGGCUAACUACGUGCCAGCAGCCGCGGUAAUACGUAGGACCCAAGCGUUGUCCGGAUUUACUGGGCGUAAAGGGUGCGCAGGCGGAUGGGUAAGUCAGGGGUGAAAGUCUGCAGCUUAACUGUAGAAUUGCCUUUGAUACUGCUCAUCUUGAGUGUGGGAGAGGUUGAUGGAAUUCCAGGUGUAGCAGUGAAAUGCGUAGAUAUCUGGAAGAACACCAGUGGCGAAGGCGGUCAACUGGCCCAUAACUGACGCUCAUGCACGAAAGCGUGGGGAGCAAACA
rnacentral:rRNA from 1 species